rnacentral:rRNA from 1 species
GAGAAGCUUGCUUCUCUGAUGUUAGCGGCGGACGGGUGAGUAACACGUGGAUAACCUACCUAUAACUGUGGGAUAACUUCGGGAAACCGGAGCUAAUACCGGAUAAUAUUUUGAACCGCAUGGUUCAAAAGUGAAUGACGGUCUUGCUGUCACUUAUAGAUGGAUCCGCGCUGCAUUAGCUAGUUGGUAAGGUAACGGCUUACCAUCCCAACGAUGCAUAGCCGACCUGAGAGGGUGAUCGGCCACACUGGAACUGAGACACGGUCCAGACUCCUACGGGAGGCAGCAGUAGGGAAUCUUCCGCAAUGGGCGAAAGCCUGACGGAGCAACGCCGCGUGAGUGAUGAAGGUCUUCGGAUCGUAAAACUCUGUUAUUAGGGAAGAACAUAUGUGUAAGUAACUGUGCACAUCUUGACGGUACCUAAUCAGAAAGCCACGGCUAACUACGUGCCAGCAGCCGCGGUAAUACGUAGGUGGCAAGCGUUAACCGGAAUUAUUGGGCGUAAAGCGCGCGUAGGCGGUUUUUUAAGUCUGAUGUGAAAGCCCACGGCUCAACCGUGGAGGGUCAUUGGAAACUGGAAAACUUGAGUGCAGAAGAGGAAAGUGGAAUUCCAUGUGUAGCGGUGAAAUGCGCAGAGAUAUGGAGGAACACCAGUGGCGAAGGCGACUUUCUGGUCUGUAACUGACGCUGAUGUGCGAAAGCGUGGGGAUCAAACAGGAUUAGAUACCCUGGUAGUCCACGCCGUAAACGAUGAGUGCUAAGUGUUAGGGGGUUUCCGCCCCUUAGUGCUGCAGCUAACGCAUUAAGCACUCCGCCUGGGGAGUACGACCGCAAGGUUGAAACUCAAAGGAAUUGACGGGGACCCGCACAAGCGGUGGAGCAUGUGGUUUAAUUCGAAGCAACGCGAAGAACCUUACCAAAUCUUGACAUCCUUUGACAACUCUAGAGAUAGAGCCUUCCCCUUCGGGGGACAAAGUGACAGGUGGUGCAUGGUUGUCGUCAGCUCGUGUCGUGAGAUGUUGGGUUAAGUCCCGCAACGAGCGCAACCCUUAAGCUUAGUUGCCAUCAUUAAGUUGGGCACUCUAAGUUGACUGCCGGUGACAAACCGGAGGAAGGUGGGGAUGACAUCAAAUCAUCAUGCCCCUUAUGAUUUGGGCUACACACGUGCUACAAUGGACAAUACAAAGGGCAGCGAAACCGCGAGGUCAAGCAAAUCCCAUAAAGUUGUUCUCAGUUCGGAUUGUAGUCUGCAACUCGACUACAUGAAGCUGGAAU